AGAUAAUGACGGGCCUUUAGAAUCAAUCCAGAAGCCUGGGAGCUCUCUCUUUCGGGCCCAAUGUGUGAAAAUGGAUGAUGAUGUGAUGCUGCUCGUUGGGCUUCGUCCAAUCCCAGGACAGGCUGUAAACGCGUGGGGCUAAUCUCAUAAUUAUCCGGCACCCCCCACCCCACAUUGUUCUGGCAGAGAGUUACCAUUAACUGUGAGGAUAUCUUUGUCCUGCAAUGUCAGGUCUCCCGCUGAGUCACAGGGCAGAAAAACACUCUCAAAAGGGAUUUAAGGGAAGGGAAUGACUAAGAUGUUCAUAAAGUGGGAACACUAUACUUCCAUCCAUCCUCCAGGCCUUAGGGCAAUUACUGGAAUGGCUACUAACUGUUUGAAAUAAAUCAACUUGUACAUAACAGUAGAGCUGUAACCUUGGAGUGAAUUUGGGGUAAAAACACUGCCAUUUUAACCAUGAUAAUUGUCAACAAUCUGCUUUUUCUUAAUGGAAUGUCAUUGCAUGUAUUCAUACCUACGCAUGACAUGGCAAACUUAUUCCUGAACUGGAGACUUGUUAAUAAGGCAAACUCGGUAACAAAGUGAAACUGUGCAAUCACAGCGCGACCUUGGGGAAGGCAAUGUUCCGAAACGACGUGGUAAACAGGCACGGCUGUUCUCUCAUGAAUAUGCAUCGGCCAGCCGACUGAUAACAAACGCUGCUCUGUUCUGUCCUGUCAGUCAACACCGGCACCAUGAAGCUCCAACCUGCCUGUGUUGUUGUGUCUACUGUCCAGGUUGGUGACAAUCAAGGAGUGGGUAGACAGUUCACGACCCCGGGGCGCUGGUCAUCCCCUUCAGCGGAGGAGUGGAGAGUCUCCUGCAGGACAUGAGUGAAGGGGAGAUUAAGAAGUACUGCACCGAGCACAAGGCUCAGAGCGUUCUGACAAGGAUCAUCAAGGCUGGCUAUGGAGCCCUACAGUUGGAGUACUUCUUCACAGCUGGACCAGAUGAGGUCCGUGCGGGGACCAUCCGGAAAGGAACCAAGGCUCCACAGGCAGCCGGCAAGAUCCACGCAGACUUUGAGAAGGGCUUCGUUAUGGCUGAAGUAAUGAAAUUCGGCAGAUUUUAAAGAGGGAGGCAAGCGAGAAUGCUGUCAAGGCAGCAGGGAAAUA